UCCGGUUUGUCACCGGCAGUCUCCUUAGAGUUCCCACCUUUACGUGCUGGCAACUAAGGACAAGGGUUGCGCUCGUUGCGGGACUUAACCCAACAUCUCACGACACGAGCUGACGACAGCCAUGCAGCGCCUGUCUCACGGCUCCCGAAGGCACCAAGGCAUCUCUGCCAAGUUCCGUGGAUGUCAAGACCAGGUAAGGUUCUGCGCGUUGCAUCGAAUUAAUCCACAUAAUCCACCGCUUGUGCGGGUCCCCGUCAAUUCCUUUGAGUUUUAACCUUGCGGCCGUACUCCCCAGGCGGUCGACUUCACGCGUUAGCUUCGUUACUGAGAGUGUCAAACCCCCAACAACCAGUCGACAUCGUUUAGGGCGUGGACUAC
rnacentral:misc_RNA from 1 species